CUUCACACACAGGGAAUCGAACCCGGGGCUCUUGGGUGAGAGCCAGGUAACCGAAACUCUAGACCAUUUGGAA